GGCUCAGAACGAACGCUGGCGGCGUGCUUAACACAUGCAAGUCGAACGCGAAAGGGACUUCGGUCCUGAGUAGAGUGGCGCAUGGGUGAGUAACGCGUAGAUAACCUGUCUUCAUGUCUGGAAUAAUACGCCGAAAGGGGUACUAAUACCGGAUAUUCUUGCUUUUCAUAAGUUAUGCAAGCAAAGGUGGCCUCUGCAUAUGCUACUGCAUGAAGAGGGGUCUGCGUACCAUUAGCUAGUAGGUGGGGUAAUGGCCUACCUAGGCGACGAUGGUUAGCGGGUCUGAGAGGAUGAUCCGCCACACUGGCACUGGAACACGGGCCAGACUCCUACGGGAGGCAGCAGUGAGGAAUAUUGCGCAAUGGGGGAAACCCUGACGCAGCGACGCCGCGUGAGUGAGGAAGGCCUUCGGGUCGUAAAGCUCUGUCAAGAGGAAAGAAGUGUACAAUGGCUAAUACCUGUUGUAUUUGACGGUACCUCUAAAGGAAGCACCGGCUAACUCCGUGCCAGCCGCCGC
rnacentral:rRNA from 1 species